rnacentral:rRNA from 1 species
CAGCAGCCGCGGGAAUACGAAGGGUGCAAGCGUUAAUCGGAAUUACUGGGCGUAAAGCGUGCGUAGGCGGUUUGUUAAGUCUGCUGUGAAAUCCCCGGGCUCAACCUGGGAAUGGCAGUGGAUACUGGCAAGCUAGAGUGUGUCAGAGGAUGGUGGAAUUCCCGGUGUAGCGGUGAAAUGCGUAGAGAUCGGGAGGAACAUCAGUGGCGAAGGCGGCCAUCUGGGACAACACUGACGCUGAGGCACGAAAGCGUGGGGAGCAAACAGGAUUAGAUACCCCUGUAGUCCCUGUCUCUUAUAU